CUCAGCUGUCACAGGUUUUACAUUGCUUUUGGAUUUUUCUCUUGUCCCCAUUUCCCAUAAUAUAUAAUCCGUCAAUUGUUACUACUUGAAAAUACUAUUACCAUUGCAUUUUCAACACCAACCAUUUUCAUUGCUUCUAUGUUCAAAUGGUGAUUAACAAAAUUCAUUCUCGUGACUUAGAAAUGUCAAAGUGAAUAUAUUACUGUGUAUAUUUUAAUAAUACACUGUAAUUCCCAUAUAAGGUUUUUUGGGGGGGUAUUUUGCAAUGACAGUAAGUAUGUACUAAAUUUCUAUGUAUGACACAAGUCAGUUUUGACUCGUGUGGCCUUUCCCCCAAAGCAGUUUCUUCUAACGUUUUCAUGUUAGAAGAAUCAGAAAAUCCUAAUCUUAGAUCCCAGUAACCCUAUUUUUUACAUGAAGACAUGCACUGCAGAGAAAACUAAAAUGGCUUGUCUUAAACCCUUGGAAUCUUAUUCUCCUUCUUUUUAAAUUAACCCCAUUUAAAGGUUGUGGGUAGGGAGGAAGGGAGAGAACCAGUGAUGAUGACAAAGAUUGUCUAGUUCUCAAAAACAUGUUAUCCCACCCUUUGCAGCAUUCAAGGACAGGUUUAUAGGAGUGAAAAACAAAACAGAACUAUAUACAGUCUUGGCUUUGUCCUAAACAAAAUCAAGAGAUAUUUACAGAGUAUCUGUCACACACCACAAAGGAUAUUGAGGACUUCCCAGCCAGGAUGAAGAAUACUUAGGCCCUCCAAAAGCUUCCUUACUUAUAUCCUGGGGCAUCUGUUGCUCAGUACCUACAAGUGUAGCCAUUCAACAGCUGGCCCUGGGUGGAGCUAAGAAAUCAGCUUCCACCUCGCUCAAGUCAGCUCAACUGGCUAAAGUGCAGGUUUCAGGCAAAAGAAAAAGCAAAAAUGAAACCUCAGACCGGAGGGAGCCAAGGCAGAAUUGCAAAGGCUUUACGGCAUGGUAGCUACUGAGCACCCAACCCCACUUCAGGCUCCAGGCGCCCAGAGAGGCAAGCAACUAAGGAUCAAAGGAGCUUGCAGCCUGGGAAAGGCAAACCCCCUUCUCCCGGAGCUGUGGUGCGGAGGAUGCCAAAAGUGGAGCCUCCCGUCCUCUGGAGAGGGGUGGCCGGCGAGGGACAAGGGAUUAGAGCCUGAGAAGGGUAAAGGGCUCUGUGUUUGCCUCCUGGAUGGAAUUCCAGCCUCUGAAGCCAGACUCGCAGCUCCAGCAGCACCUUGCCCACUCGUGACACCCACUAGCAACAGGCUCUGUGACCAGCGGUUUAGGAGGUGAUCCUCUUCCGCCCAUGGGGCUUGCUGCUCUCUGGGCCUGCCUUCCUGCCUAUGGGCAGGUGCAUCCCACUAGGACAUCC
rnacentral:lncRNA from 1 species